rnacentral:ncRNA from 1 species
AACCGAUUGCCAUAUAUUCUUUACUAGGUUGUACUGUGUAGAUAUGUGAUUUCUAUACUGGCAGGUGGAGAAUGAUGUUAAAAGUUUUAUUUAUUGUAAUCUUCUUAACCACACAUGGUCAAAUUGCCGGAGCUAUUGCAGAGUAUUGUAUACUAGUAAUUUGUUACCGAGUUGUUAAACUUAUAAGAGAAUCAGGGUUCGAUUCCGGAGAGGGAGCCUGAGAAACGGCUACCACAUCCAAGGAAGGCAGCAGGCGCGCAAAUUACCCAUUCCCGACGCGGGGAGGUAGUGAAGAAAAAUAACAAUGCAGGACUCGUUGGAGG